UGGGGAAUAUUGGACAAUGGGGGCAACCCUGAUCCANCCAUGCCGCGUGAGUGAAAAGCCUUAGGGUUGUAAAGCUCUUUCAGCGGGGAAGAUAAUGACGGUACCCGCAGAAGAAGCCCCGGCUAACUCCGUGCCAGCAGCCGCGGUAAGACGGAGGGGGCUAGCGUUGUUCGGAUUUACUGGGCGUAAAGCGCGCGUAGGCGGCUUGCCAAGUUGGGCGUGAAAGCCCGGGGCUCAACCCCGGAACUGCGCUCAAAACU
rnacentral:rRNA from 1 species